GGCGACGAAGGAGUGAGCAGGCCGCGUCUGCCGCGCCAGCGACGUCUGACGGCCUUCCGCUCUAAACCGCUUGAGGGUCACACCUGGCUUCGCCUUAGAGCAUCAGGGACCGCAGCCAUUCAGGUCCCAUCCUGCAAAACAACUGUUACCCGAUCCCAGAAACAGUUUAAGGAUAGCCAAACAUAUGCAUUUUUAAAACACACCUCUGGAGGUUGAGGCAGGAGGAUCUUGAAUCCAAGACUUUUUUUUCCCCAGACCACCCCAAGCAGAGAAGAUUCGACAUCUGAUAUCAGCUAUGGAAAACAAAAACAACCUCGUGCUCAAGGCAUCUUCGCUGAAUGAGUCAACAAGCCUGGUAAAUGAUACGCUUUUGUUGGAUGAAAAAACUCAUGCUCUACAAAAAUAUGGCCAUAGCAGAGUCCAUAUUCUCAACAACAGUAUUAAUGUGUUUAUCUUUCCUUGAAGUGUCGACAAUGCAAGACAUGUAAAGACAAAAUGCCUCUGGAGCCAAUCCAUACUUUUUUAUACUUUUUGUGUCUAUGGUGCUGGGGAUCAAAACAGAGCCUCCUGCUUGCUGGGAAACCAUCCCACCACUAAGCUACAGCCUCGGCACAUUUUAUUUGGAGACAAUUCUAGAUUAACAGCCAGUUGUAAGAAAUAAUACAAUGACAUCCCUGUACUGUUCACCCAAUGUCCUCAUGCUAACAUCUUACAAAACCACAGCACAAUAUGACAAGGCAGACAUUGACAUCAUUAAUACAGUGAAUAUACACCAGGCCACAUAGGCCAUUUCCAUCACUCUGAGAAUCCCUUGUGCUGCCCUUUGAGAACCACCCCACCUUCACCUCCAGCAGCGACCAAUCUGUUCUCCCUGUAGUUUUGCCAUUUCAAGAAUGUUGUGUGUGCGUGACUGUGUGUGCGUAUAGCUGGUGUGGUAGCACACUCCUGUAGUCCCAGCUACUCAGGAGGAUGAGGAAGGAUGACUGCUGGAGGCAGGAGUUUGAAGGCAGCCUGGGCAGCAAGGUGAGAUCAGGCAUUGGAGGGAACAAAGUUAUACACAUGGAAUCGUACAGUGUGAGACCUCUUGGGACUGGACUUUUUUCUUUUCAGUGUUACGGAUUGAAACCAGGGCCUCCUGCAUAUUAAGCAAAUACUCUAACACGGAACUGCACCCACAGCCCAGGGAUUUGAUUACUUCCUAAUCAGCAUAAGUCUCUGGCAGUCCACCUCAGUAGUUGUGCAUAUUAAUAGUUCUUUUCUGUUUCUUGCUGAGUCAGAUUCUAUGGCACUGGAGGUACUACAGUUCAACCAUUUAUUCACCCGUUGGAGGACAUCUGGGUUGUUUCCAGUUUUUUAUUAUACACGAAGGUGCUUUAAGUAUUUGUUUUCAAGUAUUUGUGCAAGUAUAAGUAUUCAUUUUGCCAGGAUAAGUGGCCCAGAGUGCAACAGGCUGUACAGUAGCUGAGUGUUUAUUUAAAACUUGCCCAACUAUUCCCAGUGACUAUCAUUUCUCAAUCCUCCAGCAGCGCGUGAGUGAGUUUAUGUGUACCCUUCCAACAGUUAUUAUAUUGCUGAAUUUACCCCAGCCAUUCUGAUAGGUGUGUAGUGAAAUCACAUUGUGGUUUUCAUUCUUCUUCUUCUUUUUUUUUUUCUGAGACACAGUCUGGCU